rnacentral:rRNA from 1 species
UACUAUAUGCUUGUCUCAAAGCCUAAGCCAUGCAAAUCUAAGAUCAAUCAUAUGCGGUUUCGGCCGUGUAUAAUGAUAGUCUGUGGAAGGCUCAUUAUAACAGUUAUACUCCUAGCCACUGGAAAGUUUACAAGGAUACCACCGUUAACUGCAGCGAUAAUACUUGUUCCCUUCGGGGUGGUAAUAGUAUUUGUGCUGAAGCCUAGCUAUUGUAACCUAGUUUUUCGGGUGUGGCAACAUAUUCGGGGGAUUAGGAAUCGACCGCUAGCAGGUGCCUUCGGGCGCGGGAAAGUGAAUUAACAAGGUUUUCAUAGGGCCUUUCAGGUUUGCUUUUUCUAGUGGCCAGGCAGAGGAGUUUCUUACCUAUCAGCUCGUUGUUUGUUUAAAGGACAAACCAGGCUUUGACGGGUACGGGGAAUCAGUGUUCGAUUCCGGAGAGGGAGCCUGAGAAAUCGCUACCACAUCUAAGGACGGCAGCAGGCGCGCAAAUUACCCAAUCUCAAUACGAGGAGGUAGUGACAAGCUAUAGUGACUCCACACCAUUUGGUGGGGAGGUAUUGUCUUUUGACGAUUUUCCAUGAUUUGGGUGUAGAUAACCCUUAGAGUAGCCAUUGGAGGAAAAGUCUGGUGAACUGUUGCCAGAAAUAGUGACCCAGCAAUGGGGAGCUAGUCGCAUUGACCAAAAUUGAUUAUUUUGGUAGCGGCAAAACGAUCAAAUUGCGGGAAACGCUUCUUUUAAGCCUAACAGUACCGCUCGGCAACGAGCUAUGACAGGAGAAAAGCCUGUAGGAUGGUAACAAGCUGUUAGGUAUGGCGUAAUCCGCAGCCAAUCUGUUCGUUAACAAAUCCCUGUUAUUGAAGG